AAGGUAGCAUAAUCACUUGUCUUUUAAUUGGAGGCUAGAAUGAAGGAGGCGACGAAAUUUGGGCUAUUGGGUUAUAUUAUAAAAUUAACAUAAAGGUUAAAAGGCUUUUAUUAAUCAAAGGGACGAGAAGACCCUAUAAAACUUUACUAUAAAUUAAAUUAUUUAGAUAAGAUCUUUACUAAUAUAGUUUGACUGGGGCGGUGUAUAUAAAAACAAUUGAAGCAGAAAUAUACUGAAUAAUAAUUGAGAACUCUAAAGGAAAUAAACAAGUUACUUUAGGGAUAACAGCAUAAUUCUCCCAGAGAGUCCUAAUUGGCGGGAGAGCUUAUGACCUCGAUGUUGAAUUGGGGUGUCUAGUAUAAGUAGAAAUAUAUUAAGAUAGUCUGUUCGACUAUUAAAUUCCC
rnacentral:rRNA from 1 species